GCCUGAGUGGCUCAGUCGGUUGGGCAUCCGACUGUGGCUCUGGUCAUGAUCUCACAGUUUGUGGGUUCAAGCCCCGCGUCGGGCU
rnacentral:tRNA from 1 species